ACCAAGGAGUCUAACAUGUGCGCGAGCCGCGGGGCAGUACGAAACCCGUAAGGCGAAAUGAAGGUGAACGCCGGCGCGGUCCGGCGGAGGUCUGGAUCCCGUCCCGUCGGGGCGGGCGCACUACCGGCCGAUCUUCUCCGCCCUGUCGGCGAGGUCGAGCGAGAGCGUGCAAGUCGGGACCCGAAAGAUGGUGAACUAUGCCUGAGGAGGUUGAAGCCAGAGGAAACUCUGGUGGAGGACCGUAGCGAUUCUGACGUGCAAAUCGAUCGUCAAAUUUGGGUAUAGGGGCGAAAGACUAAUCGAACCGUCUAGUAGCUGGUUCCCUUCGAAGUUUCCCUCAGGAUAGCUGGCGCUCUGUCGCAGUUUUAUCUGGUAAAGCGAAUGAUUAGAGGUCUUGGGGGCGAAACGCCCUCAACCUAUUCUCAAACUUUAAAUUGGUAAGAAGCCCGACUCGCUCGUUUGGAGCCGGGCAUGGAAUGCGAGUGCCAAGUGGGCCACUCUUGGUAAGCAGGACUGGCGAUGCGGGAUGAACCGAACGCCGGGUUAAGGCGCCCGACGCGACGCUCAUCAGAGCCCACAAAAGGUGUUGGUUGAUAUAGACAGCAGGACGGUGGCCAUGGAAGUCGGAAACCGCUAAGGAGUGUGUAACAACUCACCUGCCGAAUCAAUCAGCCCUGAAAAUGGAUGGCGCUGGAGCGUCGGGCCUAUACCCGGCCGUCGCGGCGGUACGAGCAUCGAGUUGGUGCGCUAGGCCGC
rnacentral:ncRNA from 1 species